rnacentral:tRNA from 1 species
GAGGAUUUAGGUUAAGCAAACUCUCAACCUUCAAAGUUGAAGAUGGACCUGAGGUUCUGACCUCG